UUAAAUUAAAAUUUUUUCGCGGUUACAUCCUCACGGAAAUAGCUGUAUUGGGUGAACACCAGAUACAGAGAAACAAAAGGCAGCAAACGCGUACAUCAAUGCGUUUAUUCGACAAGAAAACCUAUGAGGAAAUGUCAUCUUCUGUGGUGUGAGCUGGGAGCGGAGAACGAGGAGAGCCACGUCCAGCUCAGCCCUACUGCGCUUUCUGCAUCUUCCCGGCUGGACGGCCGGAUGAACUCUUUGUGUUGCCGCGAGACGAAGUUGACCGCCGCGUACUCCAGCAGCGCCGCGAACACGAACAGCAGGCAAACCGCCAUCCAGAUGUCAAUGGCCUUCACGUAGGACACCUGCGACACACCACAUCAGAGCAUCAGUCAGUAAUCAAUCAGAGAGGCCCGUGAGCCGGAGCUCUGCGUGGUCAUAGUCAGGACCGUGGUGAUCCCCAGCCCCACGCGUGCCGGCGCGGCGUCCAUGUUGAUCCAGAAGGACACCCAGGAGAGGAUGACGAUGAGCAGGCUGGGGAUGUACAUCUGGAUCAGGUUAUUUCUUCAGCCUGGAACCACACACAAAUCAGUUACAUUUCACACAGUUGUCAUGUAGUCUAUUCAGUUUAAGUCUCAAUUUCAGUGGAAAAACAGUGAAAAAUGUGUUGGAGGCGUUAUCUUCACUGAGUUUUAAACAACUCCCACAAUUAUUCCACCCCACUCUUAUAUCUAUAAACUUCAUCACAAGAUUGCGAUUAAUGAAUUUUGUGUGACCAUAUGUGCAAAAUUAGUUUCGAUAAUGCUUCAUCAAGCAAUUCGUAUCAAAGCGUCAGUCAUCCGGUUGCUCAAUAGCAUGGCGGAGGAGAGAUCGACACAUUCACUCAACCACCCGAGACAAUGCUCCCACAGGACAGUACAGUGAUGAAAUGAACCAGAAAACGAAGUUGAACUCUGCCCCUGGCCGGUCAACUGUGACACAACAAACCAUGUGAUUUCGAUGGACCAAUUGCAGGCAGGGGGCAAGUCUGCAAA